CCUACGGGAGGCAGCAGUGGGGAAUAUUGCACAAUGGGGGAAACCCUGAUGCAGCGACGCCGCGUGAGUGAAGAAGUAUUUCGGUAUGUAAAGCUCUAUCAGCAGGGAAGAAAAUGACGGUACCUGAUUAAGAAGCCCCGGCUAACUACGUGCCAGCAGCCGCGGUAAUACGUAGGGGGCAAGCGUUAUCCGGAUUUACUGGGUGUAAAGGGGGCGUAGACGGCAGCACAAGUCUGGAGUGAAAUGCCGGGGCUUAACCCCGGAACUGCUUUGGAAACUGUGCAGCUAGAGUGCAGGAGCGGUAAGUGGAAUUCCUAGUGUAGCGAUGAAAUGCGUAGAUAUUAGGAGGAACACCAGUGGCGAAGGCGGCUUACUGGACUGUAACUGACGUUGAGGCUCGAAAGCGUGGGGAGCAAACAGGAUUAGAUACCCCAGUAGUC
rnacentral:rRNA from 1 species